GGGCCGGCGGACGUGGGGCCUGCCGGAAGCGUAGAGCGCGGUGAGCUUCCUGUUUAUGCAGGAGGAGGAGCCGGAGGCGCGCGCUAGGCCGCUCUCUCGUCUGCGCCGCGGCAACGGUAACGGGUCAGGGGGGCGAGGCUGUCAUGGCGCUGUCCGAGCCCCAGCUGAAGAAGAUGCUCGCCAAGUAUAAGUAUAGAGAUCUGACGGUGCAGGAAACCACCAGUGUUAUUACCCAGUACAAAGACCUCAAACCUGUAAUGGAUGCAUAUGUUUUUAAUGAUGGCUCAUCCAGGGACCUGAUGAGCCUCACCGGAACCAUUCCUGUGCCUUAUAGAGGUAACACAUACAAUAUCCCAAUAUGUCUGUGGCUACUGGAUACCUACCCUUUCAAUCCCCCAAUCUGUUUUGUUAAACCAACUAGUUCAAUGACAAUUAAAACUGGGAAGCAUGUUGAUGCAAAUGGAAAGAUAUAUCUUCCUUAUCUGCAUGAGUGGAAACAUCCCCAGUCAGACUUGAUAGGAUUGAUUCAAAUUAUGAUCGUGGUGUUCGGAGAGGAACCUCCAGUCUUUUCUCGGCCUACCAUUUCAUCAUCCUACCAACCAUACCAAGCAACAGGGCCACCAAAUACAUCCUAUAUGCCAGGCAUGCCAAGUGGAAUCUCUCCCUAUCCACCAGGACACCCUCCUAACCCAAGUGGCUACCCGGGCUAUCCUUAUCCACCUGGUGGUCCAUUUCCAGCAACAACAAGUGGUCAGCACUACCCUUCUCAGCCUCCUGUGACUACUGUUGCAGAUGCCAGAAGAAAGCAGAAGCAGGUAUGGAUUUGUGGUCAUUCGUAUGUUUUCUGGGCAGAAAAACGGGCACUCGUAAGAAGCUUUGGCCCACAACUGGGCAUUCGAGUGGAGGAUGCUAAAUUGCACUGGAUAGGAAAGAGCGGCAUGAUGUGGGAUCAGUUAAUACCCACUCUGUUUCAUGCACGAAGGCGUCUGCCAGAUCCUGAUGUGCUGGUGAUACACCUGGGAGGAAAUGAUCUGGGGACAACAAAAUUUGUGGAUCUUAUCAUCCGAAUUAAGAAAGAUUUAGGAUUUAUCAAGCACACAUUCAAGAAUGUCAUUCUGAUCUGGUCAAACAUUGUGCCCCGAAAGGCAUGGAACCAAGAAGAGACCUAUAGAUUCAUGGAUAAGAACAGAAAAAAAGUCAAUAGGGAAAUUGGCAACUUUAUGAAGUUUAUCGGAGGGUGUGUGAUCAGACACGAUUCCCUUGUACCGGAGUCUCCGGGUUUAUUCCAUCUAGAUGGUGUCCUCUUAUCUCAAAGUGGUACUGAUGUCUUCAACCUGGAUUUACUGAGUGUUUUGGAGACUUUGAUAUGACUUUGGAGGAAGUUUGACAUUAUUGGCCAUGUUUUUGACAAGUAGGAACCUCACCAGGGGUAGGGAAUACACCAUAGGAGGAUUCCCAAUGAUAUGGGGAUACUUUGGUAGUGUUUGGAGUUGCCAUCUCUCAUGUGGGGGAAGCAGUACUGGUUGCUGAAUACAUUUCAGAGGUUGAUAAUAGUGUUUCUGGCACAUAUUUGUUACCCCACUAUUAAAAUGAAAUGUUAUUUCCCAGAUGCCAAGCUUUGUUGUUCUGCAAGGUCUAUUUAAUAUUUUAUUUUGAGCUUAAUUUGAUUAAUUUAUGUAACUUAUUUAAAGGGACACUGCCAAAUAGUUUUUACCCCUUUUUUAAAUACACUAUCUUCUCUGUGUAAAAUCAUUCAAUAGUAGGUAGCUUUGUUAUAGGACCUAAUGUAUAAUAAGUGAACUUUUUGAAGCAUUUCAUUAUCAGAGAUACAGUAAUAUGAACUAUAUGGACAUAUUCACGAUGACAUUUUCUGACACAGUAUGCAACUUUAAAGGUAUGUAAAAUCGGAAGGUAGGUUGUCUGCAGAGUAGGACGCUGUGAGUUGAGACUUCUGGAUUCUAUUCCCAGCUCUGCCACUGAUUUAUUAUGGAAAUAAGUCAGUUAACUUCGCCAUACCUCUGUUUACCUGUCUGUACAUAAUUACCUCAGAAGGGUAUUUGACAGUUCUGAUGACAGUUAAUAUAGAAGUUCAGUCUUGUUACUGUGAAGGUAUAGACUCUUGACAUAAUGUCCUUUUUAAAUAACAAACUAUUUUUAUAGACUUGAAUUUGUUAUAGUAUUUUUGUUUUUUUAAAAGGUGAUUGAAAACACAUUCUUUCCUUACCAAUUUUGUCCUUUUCCAUCUUUCCAACAGUUUUCCUCUUUCUAACAAAGCAUAAAAUUAACAAUUUUGUGCUUUCCCCAAUAUCUUUGAUGUUUUCAGCGUAGCCCUGGCAAAAGUGUCUGAUGCUCCAGAACCAGUAAGAGGCAUUCUUGCUUUUAUUUUGCUCCUUCAGAAUUGAGGCCUUUUAAAACUUUCUCAUAUUGUGGAUUUUCUUCUUCUUUGAAACUGCUUUACUGAUUCACUUGAAACUCAGGUUUUUCUAAUGUUAAAUUGCUAUAAACUGCUUGACAGUGUCUCUUUAACUUAGUGACCAUGUAGAAAACUGCAGCAUUUUCCUUACAGUAAUUGUUGCAGUAUAUUUAUAUUUUUGUUGUAGGGGAAAAAGCUUUGGGCCUGGUUUACAGUUUAUUUUUUGCAUAUAGCCAACCAGCACUAUAAUUUAAUUUUGUUUGUUGGGAGUGCUGAGCUACAAAAAAUCAAAAUAUUGUGAAACGUGUUAGCAAAUAUAUUAUUCCAUGUAGUUAAGGUUUAAAAAAUUAAAUUUUGUAGAAAAGAAUUUUAAUAUUUCAAAAAUCUCCAUCUUCUCUCCUGUCUCAGUUCCCAUUGUCAAGAUAUGUGUUACAUAACGUUCAUUAAUUUGAAUUUAAAGUAAUUUUGGUCAAUGGACUCAAGGAACCAGUUUUAUUUUCUUAAAUGAAGACUCAUGUCAGUAUUUUGAUAGCUCCUUGAUGCAGCAAUUUUCAUUUGGAAAUCCCUUUUUGACAGGACUUGAAAAAGGAACUGCUUUAACCUUACCAGGUGCCCCUUCUCCCCAUUUUGUCUUUAAUCAAGUCUUCAUCCAGAAAGAUACUGGUUAUGCAGGGAAUUGCCUGCAAAAGGACACUUGUCAGAGGCAGGGGAGAGGUGAGUAUUAUGAGUAGAGGAGUGUUCAUUCUCCACUAUUCUGGCCUUACGUUACUCAAAUUCCCAGCCUCGCCAACUUUUUGGAGGAGGAAUAAGGAAGCCGCAGUUUAAUAGAAAACACCACAGUCUGUAUACAGGACUCUAAGGCAAAAGUAAUAGAAUUUAGGACCGUGUGCAGCCUAAAAGUUAGUUUGGUGAAGCUUGCAGUAGGGACAUUGGAAAAGACUUAUUUGAGUAUUCAUCUCUGUUCUUGAAUACCUCUGAAGGUUUCCCUCAUGUACAGAGCAAAUUUGUAGCCUUUAGAGGAACUGGGGUUGACUCCCUCACGCACUGGGAAAGGUUCUGCUCAAUACGUACAUAUCAAGGACUUAGAACCACUUCCAGCACGUAUGGCAUGGGUACAUUUUGUACCCUACACUUGGAUUAGAAUGUUCCCCAGUGGAAAUACCUACACUCUGGCGAGGUCUACGGUCAUAUUUAUACCUUUUUUGAUGUUGGACGAUGUUGAUGAUUAAUGCAUUUAAUUUGUAUAACUUGGUGAUUGUGUUUUACAAAUAAAGUUGUAGCCUUUAAUUUCUAGUCAUCUUGUAGUGUUUUAAUGAACACAUGACAUGGAAGGAUGUGAGUUUACAAAUUCCUUUUUGAGAUAAAGUGUCUUUGUGACUAUUAACUCCAGCCUGUUGAAAUGUUAGUCGGUACUAAAACAUACUAAAAAUACUUUCAUAACUGUUUCUAACUUAGUCUGUAUAGUUCAAAAAGUUUAAAAGCACAUGAAAGUUAAAUACCUCACUUAAGACUUUUUUUAAAAAAAGGCAGUAGCUCAUAAUAUAAAUAGUUCAGCUUGAUCAACACAUUUGUGACUGAAUAUGACUUCGUUGCUAUAGUUUUUGUUAAGGCAGUCAGUCGGUAUUUGGUAAUCGCUGCGGUUGAGUAUCUGUUGGUUUAUAUAUUUCAACUUUUGGUCAAAAUGUAGUAAUUAAGGUGCAUAGCAUUAACUGUAAAUUUUGUUGUUUGCUGUUAAGCGAUAGCAGUGGCGAAUGUAUGUUGUCAGGAUUUCUUCUCUUUCGUAUUCUCUCCAUUUGGUGGUAUUCAUGGAGUUACUGAGAUUGGUUUGCAGAAACCAUUGUCUUGUCGGGUGUUUUUGCUCAGGUUUGCCUGAGCGUGAUGCACACUGCAUGUAAACAUAUCUUCUGCAGGAUCAGUUUUAGUUUGUAGAAUUCUGUUAGAGUUCCUGUUCUGGUCUGUAGGUAAGUAACUCUUUUAUCUAAUCAAGGGAGACAAUAUCUCAAAUGAUGGUGCUAAUAUAUUGAUUGUUGGGAUUAGUUUCUUUAGCAUAUUUUCUUAUUUUUGUUGGUUUUUAUCAAAAAUAGGUAGUCUGAGUUUUCUGUUCAUAUUAAUGAAGAUAUGUAGUUGUCUCAAUAAGUGUCUGUUUUCUGAUAUAUUAUUUUUGUAAAUGUGUACCCUUGAAGCUGAUCUGGGGAUAGAAGAUAGUCAUUGGAAAUUUGCUGACAUUUACAUGCUGAAACAUGUAUUUGCAAUUUUGCAUUUGAUUUGCAUUAGCCUUUGUUGCUUGGGAGAUGUUCGUAUCCAAGGGUGAUCAAAUAGUUUCUUCAUAACGACAGGUUUCAGAGUAGCAGCCGUGUUAAUCUGUAUCCGCAAAAAGAACAGGAGUACUUGUGGCACCUUAGAGACUAACAAAUUUAUCUGAGCAUAAACUUUCUUGUUAGUCUCUAAGGUACCACAAGUACUCCUGUUCUUUCUUCAUAACAGCAUCCUUCUAGUUAGAUUCUGGCAUUUAGCCACAAACCCUAGUAGGGGACAGGACAGUGCAUUGCUGCCCCAUCCUAGGGAGAGCUCAGAAUGGGAUUGUGCCUCAUGCAUGCACAGUUUCUUCUUGGUGCAGAGAGGGAGGAGUGCAGAGGCUGCACUAUCCCAUAGGACGGUGUGACCAUUUUUCCUCUCCCAGCCUGUGGCCCACAAGGCCCACCCCAAUGGAACAAUGUUUUUUCUACAUGGGGAUAAGCAUAAAUGGGAGGAAGGGGAAGUUCCCCAUUGGAGUACAUGGCAAAGAGGGGGUGUUGCAUUGACUUUCACCUCUGGAGUGAUGAGCACCCUCCGGGGUGCAGGGAAGCAACAAUCCCUUAGCUUCCCCAAGCAUGGAAACUGAGAUUGCCCUGUCACUUAUGCAAGACUUGCCAUGGGAGGAAAGGUUCUUUGAGCCCUCCCCUCCAUCUUCUAUCAUAUUUUUUGGCAGGGUUCAAAAGUUUAUUUCACGUUGCUCUUCAAAGUAAUCACACUUGAUUUUUGCUCUUCAUUGCAGUAUACUAACUGCAUUAUAGUUAUGGCUGAAAAAGCACUUCAUUUUAAGGCUGGAGUUUUCAGACUCUCUAUACAACAUCUGUAUUAUAGUGGGGUGCCAGCUCCACUAUAGUUUGAGUAGAUCCACAGUUAAUCUGCCUGUUUCAUGCCAGUAGAGAUGGGAAUAGUGUUAUGCUAGAUUGAUUAUUGCAGGUUUGGUUAUGCAUGAACUGAUAACUACUUACAUUGGUUACUAGUAGCUGUACAUGCACCACCAUUUAAUGAGGUGGUAGGAUUUUUUGAGCAGUCAGGUCACUUACAUGCAUCCUGCCAUAGACCAGCUUGACAACAUAAUUUAUCUCACUGAGCUGCUUGAUGAUUUUAAAGGGCACUCCCAGGCAGCUUGGAGUUUAUUCUGCUACAUUGGAAUGAGUGCCAUAACUUUGUUUCCUAUUCCAUGUGACCUGGCCUGUGCCAUGUGGUCAUACCAGACAGUCUCUCUUAGGCUUUAAAUAGGUUCUCCUAAGCAAAAUCCAGGAGUUCUGUGAGCCUUUCCCGAAAGGACAAUAUAUAUUCCACUGCUUCCCCCUCAGGAGAGGUCUUAAGCUCCCACUCAUCCCUCACUUGGUUCUAGGGUGCCACACCCUCCUUCCAAAGAGCAGUGCAAAAGGGGAAAACUAGAUUCUUAGUGAAUUUCUCUAUAGGCAAACAGCAGAUACAGUAACUUGUCCCGAUCAUGUGAUCUAGAAAAGUUUCCAGCAUUAUUUUAAGUGUCCUAUUAAAUCUUUCCACCAGUCCUUUGGUUUGAGGGUGAUAUGCAGAGGGCCACAAGUGUCUGACCCCAUGUUUCUCCCAUAAGCCCUGGUGAAGGGUUGAUAUGAAAAUGAGUCCCUGAGGAACUUGCUGGGGAGGAAGCCCACCUAGCUGAAAAUUGACAAAAGAGCAUCACAUCUGUGUCUGCCUCUAUGGAGGACAGAGCUGCAGUCCUGCAGGAUAGCAAGUAGCAUAAUCUACCACCCCUACUAUGAAUUUCUUUCCAGUCUGGGUCUCCUUACUACAGUGUCCCACAAUAUCCAUGGUCAGCUUCAAAAAAGGUUCCUCUACUCUAGGUAGUGGCCUCUUGGCUGCUUUACUCUUUCUUGUGCUUUUUUCACCUUCUGAUAAGAAUCACGUGUUCUGAGUAUUUUUUGACUGCCUCAAAAACUCCAGGCCAGUAAAAAUUAUCAACAGCCUGUGUUUUGUGUGCUGGAUCUCCAGAUGCCCUGAAAAAGGGAUAUCUUCGGAGAAGUUUAACAUCUUAAGGUGAUACUUCUGGGAUACCACUGUCUACUGAUACUCCAAGUCUGUCUCCCCUGCGGGAAACCAUUCCCUGUAAAGUUGCUUAUUCCACAAGAAUCUCUUUCUGCAUUCCUCAGAUAAGAGGGCUUUCAGCGCUGGGACUGGCCACUGCAGCCCUUACCUUCUCUAAGGAGGGUUUGGAACACAGCUGCCAGGGCAGGGAGUGUAGCCUGCUCCUCCCUACUAAACUCAUCCUGUUUCCCCCUCUUGGCUUGGAUAUCAACCAAAGCAACACUUAACUCAGCUUAUUCUCACAGGCCGGAGGGGACAGUUGUGCCAAAUGGCAGGGGAACAGAGGUGGUCUCUCAAGUAAAUAGUCCCAAGUCAUUUUUAGGAGGGAACUGGUAUUCCUCUCAACUGCGGAUCUUAAGUUUUUACAUAAAGAAUUUUUUGUUUCUUGCUGCUACAGUGUUGUGGCUUGUAGAGAUGAAAGACUAUUAAAAUGUCCUGUUAGGUCACAUUUAUAAGCAUAACAUACAGUAUGUCAUUAAGGAUCAAGUGUACAGCAUUUUAUUUGUUAUACCAUGACAUUUAAAUAGGCUUUUUGAUUAGUGAGCUUAAUUUCUGUUUCUUCAAAGUUUUUUUUUUCAGUCUUGUCCCAUUCAUUAUCCUUCUGAUUCUGUUACGGGUCUGAAGCUGCUGUAAGGUCACUUGUGAAACCAGACUCUGCAUAGUAAAGGUUAAGUAUCUGAGUGCUCCCAGGGAUUAAUGGCUAUGUGCCAUAAAAUCUUCCCAAAGAUGGGCUAAUUAUAGAAGUGACAGAAAAUGCUAAGGGUUCAUUCUCUGUAAGGAGCUACAUUGAGAUUGUUUCAAAAUAAAACCUUACUUGUGCAAGGAGUUAGCAGAAAUCCACCAUUUCCUGUGUUUCAUUAACAUUUUUUGUCAUCUGAAUUUCCAUUUUUAAGAUUAAGAUGUCUUCCCUGAUAUUUCCCUCCUGGUUUAUUAUUAAAAUGUCUUGUACAAAAGUGUCCUAAAUAAGGGAUUUUCAGAAAACAGCUAGUAUCGAUCACUGACUUUGGUUUUGCUUUAUAAAUGUAUAUUGUAUAUAAAAGGAGGAGUGACUAGAAUCUUGUGAACUCUCACAUUCGUGAUCUGAGUGUCUGGAUGGUUACAAUUCACUUCUCAUAAUUACAGUUGUCUGGUAGUGAGUAUACUCUUCUGUUCCUUUAGGAAACUUUACAGGACUAAGAAUGUUUAAACCUCUCCUGGCUACCAUAACCCACUGCUUUCUCUCUUCCCCUUCUGCCCAUCCUUUACCUCACAAAUAAUUUAACAUAAAAGUGAUGGUAAAAUCUUUGCAAUAUAAUAAAACAAUGUAUAUAACUCAUUACUUCAGUAAAUAAUAUUAAUAUUCAAUUACUGUAAAUUAAAGGAUUUGGUUCCCCUCCCCUCCGUGGUUUAUGUGGUGUUCCUAUAGAAAGUGCUAGUCCUGUCUCCUCAGCAUUGAAGCAUCCUUGAGAAAUUCCUUUUGGUUUAUGUGCCGUUUCACAUGCUUUCAUUGCCACAUGUGAUAAGUGUUUACAACUUUUAACAAAAUAUUGUAGAUGUCUUUAUGGACCAGUAAAGUGCCUGAGUGGCAUGAGCUAGAAAUGACACCUAAAUUGAUAAUGUAUAUACAUUUUUAUGAACCAAACAUUUAUCAAUCAGCUUCUACACUAGGAGUAUUUAGUCUAUUAAUAGAUGAAUUGUACAAGAAGCUUGUAUUUAUUUUAUAUAUAAAAUAAAACAGUAAUACUUACUGGCUCUGAAUAGGUGCCAUUAGGUUUAGAACUUUGUGCUGCAUAUCCUGCAUAGAACAAUUAACAUGCAACACAUGCUAAAUGAGUCCAUUACUACUUGGUGAAAAAUAUAAAAUGUUAUUGCUCUGUUACAAUUUUUGUAUCAUGAAAAAUUAAUGAUCAGAAAUACUGGUGAUACAUGUUUAAGGUACGUUUUUCAGUAGUUUUAAACCACUUUCUGUGUGAUUGUAAAACAGACAUCACAAUAUGCCAUACGUCUUUCUAGUAUUUAUAGGGUAGAUAAGGUGAUUCAUUGAAGGGAAGAGAGUUCUAAAAAUGAAGUUUUUACUUCUUGAAAAGUUUUCUACACUCUCUUUUGUUGCUUGUUGUAACUAAAAAUUACUUGGCUUAAAGACACUUGAUUCAUCUUUAUUCCAUUGAUGUGGAUGAGAGUAUGUACCUUUUGGCUCAUUUAGCAGAGUUUGGUGAGUUGACGAUAUAGGUACUGCAUGCGUUUUUUCAGUUAUCCUUGUUUCAGUUGGGUGGCUUCAGGCUUUGAAAUAACUGGAUGGGAGGAGCCAUUCUGUGUUCGGAGCAGAAGAAAGGAAAGGAUGAGGGAGAGCCAUGGGCUUUGGUUUAUAGCUUCGAAGCUCUACAGGAGCAAGGGUAGCAGUAGAAUGGGGGACAGACAGCAGAGGCCUAAUGUAUAGUUUCUAAGCCCAACAUAGACUAAUGAAGAGCUCCUAAAUUCCAUGUAGACUUUCAUCGAGCAACUCUCGGGAAACAUUCUAAAAACAAACAAUUUCCAAUACUAAUAAUUUAGCUAAGCUUGAUUUACUCCCCAGAAAUUUACUGAUCAGUAACAUGAGAGUACUUGUAAAAAGAAUGCUGUUUUAAAGCUGAAAUUACUAGAAAAACCAGGAAGUUCAAAGUAAGUGUGCUAGAGUAUGGAAGAUGUAGUGUCAUAAACCAAAUGAAUCUAGCUAACACAGGCACAAAGAUGCAAAUACCUGAUUUAAAGCAUAGCUAAUAUAUACACUGUUAAGGCUAGAAUCUGUGGUAACAGCCUUCCAAUUUCUGUUGGUUUAAAUUUUAAUAAUUCAUAUCAUUUUUAGAGUAGAACCUUGUUAUUUUCAGAUGUAGCAGCUCAGUCUUAACCUUUUCCAAAAGUUUAAAUAAUACGUGCAUCCCAGAAGAGGAGUUUCUUUUACAGUUAUUCCCUUAUAAAACUCUCGUGCAUCAAAAAGGUAGCGAUACACUGAAUUCUUGGUCAAGAUAUAUUCAUUGUGGUGCAGAGUAGGUGUUCUUGGCCCAUUACUUGUGGCAUUGUCUUUACCUACAACAUUCCGGAUAUUAAUCUAUAACUUUAAGACACAGAAGCUGUAGAGAUCAAUGCUGGUCUAAACCCAGGUCUCUUCUUCUUUGGAGUUAACAUAGACAGCUUUAUAGCACUGCAAACCCUAAUGUGAAAAAUAUAUUGGAUUCCUGAUGUAAAUAAUAUCUGGAUAUACCCAUCUUAGAGUAUUUUCUGAUGCCCUUGAUUUCAGAGUUCAAAAUCUCAGAUUAGGUUUGAUCUUGCAUCUGGGCAGUCUUUCCUGUUCUUGUGUUAUCUGGAGUACAUGGUUGACAGCAGAAGUAUUUGCUUGAAGUAUCAGCCCAUUGACUAUUAGCUUGUGAUUGUGUGGUUUAUUUUCUGCUUUUAAACUUUCUUCCGGUACUGUCACAUGUUAUUGCAGAGAAGAUAGCCAAAACAGUUUCAAGUAAAACCAUGCUAUAAAAACCCAACUAUUUUAAAAAUAAAUAAGUCUGAACACAUAAUAUGUUCAGAAACAGAUCCAUUCUGUUGUGCAACAAAGAUGUGCGCUAUCUUGAGGAUUUUAUUAAGUCCGAGAUGCUGACAAAUGAAAUAAAGGCUCAAGAGUUUUGAUUUUAAAAGGUUCAGCACAAAGUACUAGUUCAAAGACUGAUUAUUUAGAGACAGGAUUUGCUCAUGAAGGAGAUCAGAUAAUUUUAUGGUACUCCUUUUGCACACAACCUGCAUGCUGAUUUGCAUGAAGUAUAAUGGCAUUCUUGAUUGGAAGAAUUGGCUGUUUUUGUAUGGGAGGGUAAGGCUUCUGAGAAAUAGUCAAGAUUAGAAACUGGUAUGAGAGAGAGCCCAUUUAGUUGCUUGUAAAACUUUGUUUGGAAUGUUUUGAUUAAUUUAACGUGUUAAUCAAGAGGAUGCACUUAGCCAUCGUUACAGCUUGGGGAUAGAGAAAGUUGGUUUUAUGUCACCUUUAUAACUCCUCUGAACCUGAGGUCAGUCAGGGACCAGGCUAUUCCUUGUUAUACAUUAGAGCAGCCUUAAGACUGCUCUAAUUUAUGUCCAGCUGCUGGUGACCCUAAUCAGUUAUUCUGGCAGCUGGGGAUCUCUGGGGCAUAGAUAUAUCCUGGCCACUCCCCCUUUUCCCUGACCCACACCUACUGCAGGGCUGGGGGUGUGUGGCAUUGGACACUCCACAGUGACUCCAUGUCAGCGGGGGAUGUUGGAAGAAUCCUUCACCAAUCAGUUUCGAUGGCAUUGUGGCUGUUUUGUGCUGCCAGUGUAGGUCCAGGAUCCUGACUCCAGUUCUUCCUCAAACACCUGGAAAUUUUAUGGUGGGUCAGUUCCUUUCCUUUCAGUUCAGCCAUUCUUUGUUCUCCCAAUCGUCUCUCUGUUACAUCUUGUGAAUCAAAACAUAAAAAGUAUAUUUAAUUACAUGACUACAAUCAUAUGUUUUUUUAAUUUUAAAAAAUUACUAUUUAUGCAAAAUAGAUCAAAUUUCAAAGAAACUACCACAGAUGUAUCCACCCUAUCCUUAGGCAAAACCCUGAAACUGGAGAUGGGCUUUGCUGUGUGCCUUCAAGGUCCGCAAUCUUAGGCUCUGUCAGAACAGUUGAGAAUGAAUUCCAGAGUUUAGGACCAUCCACAGAGAACUUAUGUUCUAUUCACUUCUGCCUUUAAAAAUAAAUGUCUGUAAGGAAAUAUUGAGUGGGGCAGUUACUGUACAACAAAGUAUUCAGGAUUGAAAGUGUUGCACACUUAAUUAGGAAGAAAUUUUCUGAUGCAUUUUAGAAUGGAAAUUUUUGCAGUCUAUUCACCUUUUACUUAAUUAUUUAAGAAUUAUUUUAUAGUUGGCUAAUCCAGUAACUUCUUUGAUGUAACUUGAUAUGCACUAACCCCAAAUUAAAAUUACUAAUAUUUUUCUUAUAUUUUGAUUUACGCUAGCUUUAAUUGUUUUUUUUUAAUAGUUUGCGGGUUUAAAACAGUGUUUCCCCUCUGGACCACUGUGUUGGAAAAGUAGGCUUAAUUUUAGGUCUUAGUUACUGGCUUACUUUGGCUAACGGGCAGGGAUGCUGAGGAGGGAGAGGUAUGUGCCUUGCACUGCUUCCCUGAGAUGAAUUUCAGCUGAUUAGGGAAUCCCUUGACUGAAUCUGAAAGGAUAUACAAUCAUCAGUCAAGAGGUCCAUAGUGAAAAAGUAAAGGAAGUGAUCUUGAAGAUAUAUCUUUCUUUCCGAACAUAUUCUCAGUUUUAGUCUUUAGAGGGAUGUGACUCUUAAAGGAGUUAGCCUAAUUUGCAAAAUUCUUUCUGCUUUGUGAUUGCGUGCUUUUGAGAGAAUUUGGUUUGGCUAUACCCUGAAAGUAUGAUGUGGAUAAUGUUAUGACAACUUCUGUAUUUCGACAAUUUGACUUUAUCCCUGUGUUCAUGGCUUCCUUGGGUAUUCUCUCUCUUCUGAAGUUUCCCUUGCAGCGACAGGACUUCAAAACUGUACAAAGUUCAGCCAUAUAAAGGUUGCAGAGUCUGGUCACGCAGGUUACUACAGUGAUUCCUGUUGCUGCAGUUGAGGUUUAGUGUCUCUCAAAGUAAUUACGUGUAAACCAGAAGUAUAAGAGAAAUUGCAAAACUGUGUUUUAUUCUUUGAUAGAUAACAGUUAAAGUGAUUUAUAAUGGAGACUGGAAUGAAUAUUUUUUCAGUGCAGGAAUAUCAACAUGAAAUUGGAGAGACUGAAGUUUCCUGCAUUGUAGGCAUGCAACACUUUGCUGCAACUAAUUGAAAGGUUUUAAAUUUUUUUUUAAAUGUACAUUAGUCUAGCAGAGGACAUAUAGCUACUCACUCUGAAAGUGUGAACUGCAGAAAAAAAUCUAUUAAUCGUCCUAAAGGCUAAUGCAUUAAUGUUACAUUCAAAGAAAGUGACUAAGAAAAUCUUGGCAGAGAGUUGAUUUACAUGAUUGUUUAGUUUUUCUAUCACGCUUGCUAGUAUUGAAUCCCAUGUGAAAAUAGUAUUUGCUUAGUAACUGUAACAAGUCACACAUAGCUAAUAACUACUUUACUGUGGUAAUCUCAUUUUAUAUUGUUUAAUAAUAAUAAUGAUUAUUCAUCCCAAGUUAAUUACCAUUAUUAUUACAUAGCACUUACCAGUUUGCUACAAAGGAAAAUAUAUUUUAUGUAAUAUCAUCUAACCUUUUUGGAAAGUAUAUGGAAAUUGGUUUUGGAUCUAAUUGAGUGUAGUUACCCAGUAAUCUGUAGGCGUCUAUAAAUGUUUCUUACAUUAUAUGUAUCAGGUGAAACCUAUGAGUUAGAGUAACUGCAAUCAAGCUGCAGCUAGCCAUAUUCUUUUGUUUGCCCAAAUUAGUUAGGUUCGUUUAACUGAAUUAAAAUAGAAGUUAAUUGUAUAAUUAAUUUAUACAGAAUCUUCUUACAGUUGGCUGACUUUAUCUCUUUAAAUGUGUGUGUAAAGCAAAAGUGAUUAUCUGCUAAAGCCAAAUAAAAUAAUUUAGCCAGGAGAAAAACUUCUGAAACUUUUCCUAGAUAUUAAGUAAUUUUAUUAUAAGUGAAUGCCUAAUAUAGAUACCUAGUGUGACCCUGAAUAGUUACUUCAGAUUAUAACACUGCUACAUAUUCUUAGUCUACUGAAAUAUAAGAUUAACAUUACUUCUGAUCUACAACAGUUAAUUACGGUAAGAAUUGCUGCUUUUCAAAGGAGAGUUGUAGCUAAAAAUGCAUCCUUUGUGACACAAGGCUCCUCCCCCCCCCCCCUUCCCAUUUUUAGCUGAACGAUGGUAAUAAUCAUGAAAUCACCUGGGAAGAGUAGGACCUGAGAGAAAACUUUAGGCUCUUAACCCCAUCUAGUAAUUAGUCAUCAACAAAUGCCCUGUUUCUAGGUUCACACAUAUGUUUAUUGUUCACAUAUAUGUUUGUUUGCAAAUACACAAAAUAGGCCAGUCAACAUCUCAUUUUUGUUACUUAAAUGAGAGAAAACUAUGAAAAAUACAGUUGUGCUUCAUGAUAUGUUGUUUUUUUAGUUUAGAGGUUUUUUUGGGUUUGUUUUUUGCAAAUACGUUCAGCUAAGAUCUACUGACGUUUUACAUUUCACAUUUUUGUACAGUCUUCUGCAGUUGGAAAAUUAUUUUUUUCUUAUGACUGAGCAACAGUCCUUCCAUAAGAUUAUUAAAUAACAAAUUCCUGAAUUAACAGAGGCUUUUUUAAUCAGCUAUAUUUUUAAUUAAAAUGACUGGAAGCUUUCUAACCAUCUGGAACACGUACUAAGUAUUAAUUAUCUGGAAAGGCAGUUGCACAAUGCACGUAUGCUCAACAUUUCUGUAGGGUGUAAAGGAAAUCUUGGACAAUUCCCCUCCCCCCACACACAAAUGGCAUUCAAUAAUAACAAAAAACGAUAGUCUAAUCCUGGGUCCUAGCAUUAAUGCAAUAUCUAAAUUUGUUGCCUGCAGUUAGAAAGGUAACAUCCCAGGCCCAGUUGUUUUCAUCCUUUUCCAAUUAUAGCAACUUUUGAAUGAAUACUGUAUAAACUUCAAGCUAAAUAUUCACAUUUUAUGGAAAGAUCUAAUCCUUUUUACAUUGUGUAAAUAGGAAACUAUUGUACCUCUUCUUCUGUACGUCUGAGCAACGUAAUAGUUUAUGAAAGGCUACUGCUUAUUUUAUGUCCCAUACAUUAUGGAUCUUGUUCCUGCUUGUUAUUGUUUUGACUCUCACUAUCCCUUUGUAGCUUUCUAGAAUUUACUUCAAAUAGUUUUGAUCUUUUUGCUUGGGGUGAAUAUGAGGGAGCAACAUACAAACUUUUAUCUUGCACUAUAUUCAAAUCCAAACAAUUGUAUAUAGUUAUGCUUUUGCUUUUCUCUUUUGUAAUAUGUUUGUGCUUAAGUUUACAAACAUUGUUAAUGAAAAGAAUACUAAUAAAAUAACAGCAAUGAUGUGAAUGCAGGGCAUUUCCUGGAGAUUAACCCAUUGAUCUUAGAGGUCAAAAUGUGCCUUAACAUAUCUCCCAACUGGUCGAUAAUCCCAAAGAAACACACUUUCUCAAUCAUUAUUGCUUUAUUAAGUUUUUUUCAUUUUCAAGAGUUUCUUUUAAGAUAUUUGAAAAACUAAAUAUAGCCAAUGUUUGGGAAGUUUUGUUCAGAUAUAUACUUGAGUGAUCAACAAAAUGAAUUGUGAAAACUUUUAAAACUCAGUGCUGUGCAGACUUUUGUGAAGAGUGUGUAUAUGCCUGUGCGUGUUAAGAAUCGAUCAAAGAGUAUUAACUGACAUGUAGUUCAUUAUGCAGAGGGAAUACUCUGGUUGGUAGUUACCCAGUCUUCCUUACAUGUGCUCAGCUAUACGUUUUUAGAGAGAAGAGGUGAGACUCUUGGGAGAGGAGCUGUGAACAUGGUGAAUGUUAUGUUGGACUGUUAAAAUUUAACUUUGUCAGAAACUGGCUGCAGUAGUGAACAGGAAACUUCAACGAGUCGAAGAGCGAUACUGGACUUUUCCAUCAUCUGGAGGAAAGAGAAUGAAUCAAUACCUGACCGUCAAGUUUUGAAGUAAAGAAGCUUGUGUGCACCUGCCUUCAGUCAGAUUUAGCCACUAGAACAAGUAAAGAAAUAUGGAAGGUGGGAUGCAAAACUCCUGAAAAACGAAUAUAUCACUAGAGAAAAUAAAUAGUCACGUCCUCACAAGAGACAACGAAACCAGAAAAUGAAAUCUGAGGAAACUAGAAGGAGAGACUGGGACCAGAGACUGUGUUCCAAAGGGACAUUGUGGAACUGGAUACCCUAACCAGUGAAUAAAACAACAACCGAUAGAACAAAACAGCUGAGAGACUUUAGGAAGAAUAGACAGAAAUUUACAACAGUUUACUUUGUUGUUCAGUGGACCGGAGAUUAUAAAAACAGCUAAAUUUGGGAAUGGACCAAUCACACCAAAGUCAUGAUGUCUUUUAUGGAUGCUCACUGUCACCCAAAUAGGUUAAUCAUACACAAAUCGUCUUAAAGGGAAAAAAAAGACUAGUAACCUGGAAAAGAUUGUAAUUCAAAAAGAAGAGUUUUAAUUUUAAAGAUCAAGGGAGAAAGAAAAAGGAUGGAUGGCUGCGUAUGAAAGCUGUGGGGCACUUUGAGUUGAUGUUUAAGGUCCCAGCAGAGAUGGUACCAUCAGCGAGGAUACCAUUCGAGCGUCUCUCAUUUCAGCGGUGAGUGAUAAACUGAGAUGGCGGAUGAAAGAGGAAAUGGAUCGUGCACAAGCUGAGCUCAAUGCCUUGAAGCGGACA